UUAAUCUAGUGGUAGGAUGUUAACCUAAUUAGUUAAAUCACAUUUCGAAUUGGUCAUUGGUUCAAAUCCAAUAGAA